UACGGGAGGCAGCAGUGGGGAAUAUUGCACAAUGGGCGCAAGCCUGAUGCAGCCAUGCCGCGUGUAUGAAGAAGGCCUUCGGGUUGUAAAGUACUUUCAGUCGUGAGGAAGGUGUUAAGGUUAAUAACCUUAGCAAUUGACGUUAGCGACAGAAGAAGCACCGGCUAACUCCGUGCCAGCAGCCGCGGUAAUACGGAGGGUGCGAGCGUUAAUCGGAAUUACUGGGCGUAAAGGGCACGCAGGCGGUUAAUUAAGUUGGAUGUGAAAUCCCCGGGCUUAACCUGGGAAUGGCAUUCAAGACUGGUUAGCUAGAGUCUUGUAGAGGGGGUAGAAUUCCAUGUGUAGCGGUGAAAUGCGUGGAGAUGUGGAGGAAUACCGGUGGCGAAGGCGGCCCCUGGACAAAGACUGACGCUCAUGUGCGAAAGCGUGGGGAGCAAACAGGGAUUAGAUACC
rnacentral:rRNA from 1 species